GAGAGGCUUAAAGCAGAAAAGGCUGCUAAUCCAUACCCCCAUGGUUAA
rnacentral:tRNA from 1 species